ensembl:lncRNA
AAAACACUGGAACUGUCAGAAGACAUCAGCUUCUCUUUCUUGACUGUGGUAAGGAUAUAUAUGAUCUUACUUAAUAACAAAUCUAUGUGUGGCAAAAUGAAAAUAAUUGAUGUUGUACCUGUUUCUCUCAAAACAAAGUAAAAGUGAGUAAUUGUGCAUUUUUCAUGGACAUGAAAAUUACGACAGUGAAGCCACCAGAUCACCACCGUUCUCCACAUCAUCAUGGGAGUCAUGACUGUGUCUGUUUUCUGCAUCCUCAUCUUCCUGGUGACUGGUAAGUGACAGCCAGACUGUUUUGAGACAAAAAGAAAAAUAGAAAUGUUUCUCCAUAAUUUAAUUCCAGAUUAAUUCUGAUAUGUUAAAUCAUUUUUUUUUAUUGUGGAAAUGAUGACUGUCUUCUUCCCAGGGGGUUCUGCAAUUCCAGGCCAGAAUUAUUGUAAAUCUGGGUUUUCUCAACCAAACCCUUACUCACAGAUUUGCUACCUUGCGGUCUCAGAGUUAAAAUCUUGGGCUAGCGCACAGGAGCUAUGUCGUCAAAAAGGUGGAUACCUAGCUUCUAUUGAGAACAACGAUCAGUUAGAAUAUGCUUAUGAGAUUACACCAGACGGAUAUUCCUGGGUUAACGGGAAUUCUCUGUCCGAAUUUAUCCAGGAGAACUGGGUGCCGGGUGAUGAGCCAGGUUGGACAAAUGGUCACUGCUUGACAUUGGUGAACACCUAUGAUGGAAAAGGCUUUAGGGCAAUUAGUUGUUUAGAAACAGAAAACACUGCCAACGUUCUCUGCGAGGCCGAUGUUAUCUACUGAAGAGUCCACUCAGAGAACGCAAAGGGAUCUUGUUUUUGUACUAUCGCAUGCACACUUUUACUUUAAGUAAAAAUACCAAAAGAAAAUACAUUUGAUGUAUUCAAUGGCUACCCACAUUAUUUAAUCAGUUGUGACUGUUUUACUUUUUCUUUUUUCACAAUGGAAGUCCCUGUAAAAUAUAAUAAAUGACUUUAUUUUUCUUUCUUUUUAAAAAUAUUUUAAUAUUUCUACACUAUGAAGUACACACUGAAAUUGUGAACAUUAUAAUAAUUUCCCGUUUGAGUAAAAGCAGUUUGACAAAGAUGCAUGGAAUUGGGGAUUGGGGAUUUAUUAGCCAUGUACGGAUUAUUUAAAAAAAUACUAUUACAAAGAAUGCAUGUUUGUUUUGACACAAUACCAUUAUUGUGUUAACAGUAAAUUGUUAUUCAGAACAUUUAAUUAGUAUGUUGUAAAUUGUGUCUUGUUCAUUCAUCAUUGCUUUCUUGCCUCUUUUUCAAUAAAGACUUUCUGAAAUUAUUAAACUCUUGGGUUUUUCCAGAUUUUUUUGUGUGUCACAAAGCAAAGUUGGUAGAGUCUUAUUCAAAUAGACUAAUGGCUCUAAUUGCGGCCAUUGAUGUUUACCAAAUAUUGACUAAAGGGGGUGAAUACUUAUGCAAUCAAUUAAUUUAUGUUUUGUAUUUGUAAAUCCUUUUGUCAUUUUAUUUCACACUUUAAUAUAAUGGAUUUCUUUGUGUUGAUCAGUGACAAAACACUCUAAUUAAUCCUGAUUUCAUGUUAUAAUCUAAUAAAAUGUGUGUGGUCCAAUGCUUUUGAGAGUCACUGCCCAUACAAAUACUGCACAUUUGUUAUUCUAACAUUGUUUUGAAUUUGAGGAAAUGUAAUUAACAAACUAUUAAAAUGUACAAGAAAAAGGCAACAACAAUACAACUUCAAUAUGUUUGUCUAAUAGUUUUGUAGUUGGUCUUAAAUAUGUUUUCAUGGACAUAUUGAAGCAAUUCUAAUUAUUUUCAAAUGAUUGUACUGACCAUCUCACUGUUAUAUUUGGAAUGUCAGCAGCAGUUCAAAAAAUACAUGUAAAGAUGAGGACGGGUUCACCACUCUGUCAAAGAUUACACAGGCA